AUAACCUCACAUUCAGGCGGUGCACCCCGCAUACACGCAAACAUUUGAGUUCACACAAUUACUAGCAACAACAAUUGGUAAUUUGUAUGACGUUAACAUUGAACUGAGUGCCCAAUAACAACAAAAAAGACACGAAAACACAUAAAUAUAUUCAAAACAGGAUAAUUAAAAGGAGAAUCAGUUGGGAAAAAACACAAACAAGCGUGUAGCGCAGGGACUACGAAUACACAAGCAUUCUCAAAACAAACAAUAAAGCACGACAUAAAAUUAAAUCACACGCGAAAUCAUGUCGGACGACGGCAGCAGUCAAUGCCCACUCUUGCAGUUGGAUUCUGAGCCACUGCUCACACCUGCCUUACUCUUUGUGGUGCUGCUGAUAUUUGUGGCCGCCGCUGCUGUAGCGGCUGCCUAAGCGUCACACCAAGCCAAGCCGAGCCAAGCUAUAUCCAGUCAACGUCGCGGCGUGCUCGUGUCGAACCACCAAACGAUGCUGGCGCCGAGUGAAAUCGCUGAAACGAAUCGGCGCUUGUGGUUUCCGUUUCGUAACACUCAGCGACACUAACAGUCAGUAGCGACAGUGGUCGUAAAGGCGGUCGCACUCACAGUGCCGCAUACAAUUCGAUUUAAUUCGAUUGCGCUUUACAUGCACACACACACACACAAGUAAACGCGUUGAGUAGCUGUAUUUAUUACGCCAAUGCGAGUCCGUUGUUUAUGUGCAGCCAUUUGUGCGCGGCAUGAAAAAGUGACAUUUGUAAACAGCUGAAUUAAAGAGGCAAAAUAUACAUAGAUGUAAAAACAAUAAAAACAAACAAGCAACGAGAAAUAGUGACGGUGCCAGGCUAACGGAGUACGCGUACAAAACGUCAGUGGUGUGCCAUAUUUGGCAAGCGGUGAGUCAGUGAGUCAGCGAGUCGUCAGUGUGCGAACGAACGUCAAUGGAGGACCAAGUGAAUGAGUGGAUUACAUAAAAGGCGAAAAUGUCAGCGCACAAAUAAAGCAUAAAUCGAGUUGAGUUGCAAAGUGAACCGAAUUUCGCUAACAAUAAAUAACGUUCCAAAGUGUUUUUAAAACAUUAGAAAACUAAAUUAUGAGAAAAAACUAUGCCACCGCAAAGAAAAAACUAAAUAACAAAGCAAAGUGUGGCAAGAAAGUGUGUUAAAAGUGCGAAGCUCAAAACAAAACAACACAACGAACUUUUGCAAACUCGUUAAGUGACAGCAAACAUUAAUAAUAAAAUUUAGCUGCGCAGUAAAAACAAAGCGAAACGCUAGCAUAUAUCAACGCCAGCUGUGAAGGCGGUCAUGAGUCGGCGACUGCCAGCUUAAGCAGUUUUGUUGUGGCGAUAAAUAAGACUACUUAUAUACAAAAUAAAAAAUAUAGAACAACAGCCACAAGAUGGCGCUAUGCAAACACAAAAACAAAGCGACAACAAAUUAUUGAGCUGCAAUAAAUAUAAGCGUAAUAUUUAUUGCAACAAUCAAUAAAAACAACUUAGUACACUUCCACGUACAGCACUCUUACAAACAGCCAAAGAGCAGCUAGAGCACCGCCUCCCCUCAGCAACAACUCCAGCGCAGCGAAACUUUUGGCAAAACACACAAAUAUCGAGCUACGCCGAGCGCCAGCGCGCGGCAAGCAGCGAGUUGAGAGUCAGUCAGAUCAGAUCAGUUCGAAUUGUUGUGAAACAAAUUGCUUGUUACAAAACUACAACAACAAUAGAUAACGCCUGUAUACGAAGAAAGAGUAUAAUACACCACAACAACAGCAAAAUCAAUGCUUUCUCUACAACAACGCCGCAAUUAAGUCCGUCCAGUGAUAUAUAAACAUAUUUUUUUUCGCUUUUUUCCAAUUAUUUUUUAUUUUUGUUGUUGCCACAUUACGUCAAAUGCAACAGAAAUGUAUUGAAUCCAAAAUCGUUGUGAAAAAGUGAAAAAGAAAAACCCAAAACUAUAGCAAAAACAAAAACAAAAAAAUAAAAUAUUUCGAUAUAAAAUAUAAGCAAUGCUCCUACGCCUUCAAUUCUAAACUUAGACACGGCAAUAAAGCGCAAGUACAUACAAACAUUUGUCUUGUUUCUACAACUAAAUAUAGCAAUACAAUUUACUAAGUUACUAAACUAUAAGUUUUUAUGACGUGCAUACAAAUAAUGCGCAUAAAUUUAUAAUAAACAGCUUGGAAAAGGUUAAAUAACUUUGUGUGCACAGGAGACCACGCGCUACUAGCAACCCCCCAACACACAUUUAUAUAUACAAAUACUUACAAACAUAAUUGCGUGUUGGUCAGUGGACGUAUUGACUCGGCUAUAGAUAGCUUCAUUAUUGAAUAACCAACAACAACUUUAAUCAACAACAACAACACCAAGUUGAAUAUGCUGACUUAGCCAAUACACAGGCGACCACUUUGAAGCACACGCAUUCUCGACUUUUGCCUAAUAAUUGACACUGUAUACUACAACAACCAACCACUAGUAGUUGUUGUUGUCAUUUUUGUGCUUUUCCAUACGCCUCAAAUGUCAACUUUGUCAUGAACAUAUGAAUUUUUGAUGCACACGCACAACGGCAAGGCACAGACGACUUAGUCAAACAGCGCCUCAAGGCAAGGCGAGCGAGCAGGGUAGUCGGCGAAGCCAUCCGUACAUAGUACCAGUGCGUGUUUGCCCGAUAAACACAUAGACAUAUUUGUGUGUACAUAAAAUAAUUAAAGUAUAAAAUUUUUAAAUACCCAAAGCUAUAAAAUAAUUACGCAUCUACACACGCGACACUGCGCCACACACUAAUUGCCGCCCACCAGCGCGCACAAAACGCUGUAGCGUGUGCAUAUGUUGCGUGGGAUGCUAAUUGAAUGUUCAGUUAUAACUCAAACUCACUGACAUAAAGUGUGCAAAGAGCGAAGCACAGCAGCCUUUGAAGAUAAAUAUACGAGCGUACAUUGCGUUGGCUUUGGGCCACCACUGCGUAUGAGUAACGCCGCAGAAAGGUAAUUAAUUGUUGGUUGCCAGCAAGUACCCCGCAUAAAUAGCAAAACCAGCGAGUAACAGUAAAACAUUAAAAGGGUGUUAAGCAGCAAGAUUUAAAAGCACACUCACACUCACGCGCGUAACUGUGUGUGAGUGGUUGUGACUUUGCGCGUUAUUUAAAGCGCGCGCGGUAAAUAAAGGCUCUAACUGCCGAAGGUGGUUGUGAGUAGUGGUUUUUUGUACCUUUCAUUGCGUUGUCGUCGUUGGAGUAGGUAACAGCUUUAAAGUUUACCAAACUGAAGCGCGCGCUUAACGAGCAAAAAGCUUAAAACUUAAUUAAGCGCAUAUGAGUGAUGGGUGCAAAGGCAGCGAGCUGAAUAAAUCUGUCUGUAAUAUUUUAUGCGCAAAAUAAUUGAAUAAAAUACAAAAAGACGCGCCAGUGAGACGCGCCAAGCGCCAAGUGAGUAGCGCGGAGUCGAGUCUAGGGAGUUAUAUAAGCGCAAACUGUUUUUGGAAAGCCGAAAAUUUCACUUGAACAGAAACAGUAAACGCCGCAAAGAGCAAAUAAGUCGAAAAUAAGUCACAAACAAGUCCGGCGUAUUACAAAAUUCACGAAAGCGCUCAAUAAUUUACGUGAAACUUCGCAGCGGAACUGCACUGCGGAAGCCAAUAAAGACAGGCAAUUCCAAAAUUGAAGAAUUGGCGCAAAGCGAAAACAGCACUUUGCAUUUUAAAUCAAAUGAAGUUGCUAGACACAAGCGCGAUAGCAUAGCAACGAAUUACACAGAAGACAAGCAACAACAACAAAAUGUUGUAAGUAGUACGAGUUGGAAGUAAAAAGCGUAAAAAGUCAAAUUUCUAUAUUUAUAUCUAUAUUUUCAACGCACAAACAUAUGAAUAUUUCAUUUCACUUCAUUUCAUCUCUUGCCACUUGCGCGCCAAACGAGCAGUCAAAUGAAUUGUGCUGCACACGAAAGCGAAAAAAAACA
rnacentral:lncRNA from 1 species